AUCCUGGCUCAGAUUGAACGCUGCGGCAGGCCUAACACAUGCAAGUCGAGCGGUAGAGAGGUGCUUGCAUCUCUUGAGAGCGGCGGACGGGUGAGUAAUGCCUAGGAAUCUGCCUAGUGGUGGGGGAUAACGUUCGGAAACGGACGCUAAUACCGCAUACGUCCUACGGGAGAAAGCGGGGGGAUCUUCGGACCUCGCGCCAUUAGAUGAGCCUAGGUCGGAUUAGCUAGUUGGUGAGGUAAUGGCUCACCAAGGCGACGAUCCGUAACUGGUCUGAGAGGAUGAUCAGUCACACUGGAACUGAGACACGGUCCAGACUCCUACGGGAGGCAGCAGUGGGGAAUAUUGGACAAUGGGCGAAAGCCUGAUCCAGCCAUGCCGCGUGUGUGAAGAAGGUCUUCGGAUUGUAAAGCACUUUAAGUUGGGAGGAAGGGUAGUAACCUAAUACGUUGCUACUUUGACGUUACCGACAGAAUAAGCACCGGCUAACUUCGUG
rnacentral:rRNA from 1 species